rnacentral:pre_miRNA from 1 species
CAUGUGCUCCCUCCGUUCGGAAUUACUUGUUACAAAAAUGGAUGUAUCUACAACUAAAAUACAUCUAGAUACAUUCAUUUUUUGGACGAGUAAUUCUAAACGGAGGGAGUACUAU